rnacentral:rRNA from 1 species
UGCUUGGCGACGUCCUACAAGUCGAGCAGGGACGAAAGUCGGGCUUAGUGAUCCGGUGGUUCCGCAUGGAAGGGCCAUCGCUCAACGGAUAAAAGCUACCCCGGGGAUAACUUGCUUAUCUCCCCCAAGAUUCCACAUCGACGGGGAGGUUUGUCACCUCGAUGUCGGCUCAUCGCAUCCUGGGGCUGUAGUCGGUCCCA